UACGGAGGGUGCAAGCGUUAUCCGGAUUUACUGGGUUUAAAGGGUGUGUAGGCGAGCUUUUAAGUCAGCGGUGAAAUCUCCGGGCUCAACCCGGAAACUGCCAUUGAUACUAUUAGUCUUGAAUUUUGUUGGGGUAGGCGGAAUAAGUCAUGUAGCGGUGAAAUGCAUAGAUAUGACUUAGAACACCAAUUGCGAAGGCAGCUUGCUAAACAAAUAUUGACGCUGAGGCACGAAAGCGUGGGGAUCAAACAGG
rnacentral:rRNA from 1 species